rnacentral:rRNA from 1 species
UUGUCCUUAGUUACCAGCACGUUAUGGUGGGCACUCUAAGGAGACUGCCGGUGACAAACCGGAGGAAGGUGGGGGAUGACGUCAAGUCAUCAUGGCCCUUACGGCCUGGGCUACACACGUGCUACAAUGGUCGGUACAAAGGGUUGCCAAGCCGCGAGGUGGAGCUAAUCCCAUAAAACCGAUCGUAGUCCGGAUCGCAGUCUGCAACUCGACUGCGUGAAGUCGGAAUCGCUAGUAAUCGUGAAUCAGAAUGUCACGGUGAAUACGUUCCGGGCCUU